rnacentral:rRNA from 1 species
GGUACCGUAACUUCGGGAGAAGGUACGCUGUUGAUGGUGAAGGAUUUACUCCGUAAGCUAUUGGCAGCCUCAGAAACUAGGCCGCUGCAACUGUUUAUUAAAAACACAGCACUCUGCAAACACGAAAGUGGACGUAUAGGGUGUGAUGCCUGCCCGGUGCUGGAAGGUUAAUUGAUGGGGUUAGCGAAAGCGAAGCUCUUGAUCGAAGCCCCAGUAAACGGCGGCCGUAACUAUAACGGUCCUAAGGUAGCGAAAUUCCUUGUCGGGUAAGUUCCGACCUGCACGAAUGGCAUAAUGAUGGCGGCGCUGUCUCCAGCAGAGACUCAGUGAAAUCGAAAUCGCGGUGAAGAUGCCGUGUACCCGCGGCUAGACGGAAAGACCCCGUGAACCUUUACUGCAGCUUUGCACUGAACUUUGACCUUACUUGUGUAGGAUAGGUGGGAGGCUAUGAAACUUGGACGCCAGUUCGAGUGGAGCCAUCCUUGAAAUACCACCCUGGUAAUGUCGAGGUUCUAACCCAGUUCCGUUAUCCGGAACGGGGACAGUGUAUGGUGGGUAGUUUGACUGGGGCGGUCUCCUCCUAAAGAGUAACGGAGGAGUACGAAGGUGCGCUCAGCGUGGUCGGAAAUCACGCACUGAGUAUAAAGGCAAAAGCGCGCUUAACUGCGAGACCGACAAGUCGAGCAGGUACGAAAGUAGGUCUUAGUGAUCCGGUGGUUCUGUAUGGAAGGGCCAUCGCUCAACGGAUAAAAGGUACUCUGGGGAUAACAGGCUGAUACCGCCCAAGAGUUCAUAUCGACGGCGGUGUUUGGCACCUCGAUGUCGGCUCAUCUCAUCCUGGGGCUGAAGCAGGUCCCAAGGGUAUGGCUGUUCGCCAUUUAAAGAGGUACGCGAGCUGGGUUUAGAACGUCGUGAGACAGUUCGGUCCCUAUCUACCGUGGGCGUUGGAGACUUGAGAGGAUCUGCUUCUAGUACGAGAGGACCGAAGUGGACGAACCUCUGGUGUUCCGGUUGUCACGCCAGUGGCACUGCCGGGUAGCUAUGUUCGGAAGGGAUAACCGCUGAAAGCAUCUAAGCGGGAAGCCUACCUCAAGAUAAGGUCUCCCUGAGGGUUUACCCUCCUAAAGAGCCGUUAGAGACCAUGACGUUGAUAGGUUCGGUGUGGAAGUGCGGUGACGCAUGAAGCUAACGAAUACUAAUUGCU